GGAGGGCGGCGCUUGCGGGGACCGGGCUGCUCCGGGCCCUGGGGACCCCUGCGCUUCGCUCACUCCUCCCCCGCCGGGGCUCCGCGGGCCAGCGCUGCGGCCGCCAGGGUGCGCCCCCCCGCCCCGCCCCGCCCCGCCGCCGUCCCCGGCCCGCUCCGCCCGAGCCCCCCCUCGCCGCGCUGCGCGCUCCGCCCGAGCCGCCGCCGCCGCCGCCGCGUGCUCCCGCUGUCUCCUCGCUCCAGCCGAGCGAGCCGGAGGAGCCGGGGAGAGGGAGAGAGCGAAAGGGGGAGGAGAGAGGGAGAAGGAGGGCGGGAGGGAGGGGAGCAGAGGGAGAGGAGGCGGCGGCGAGCAGGAGCGAGCGCGGAGCGCCGAGCCGCGGGGCAGCUCCGGAGCCGGGAGCCUCCUCGGACAGCCGCCCGCCCCGGCCCGGCCCGGCCCCGCUCCAGCGCCCGCCCGCUCGGAGGACACGCGGCCGCCGCCGCCGAGCCCGGCCCGCGCCCCUCGCCGCCCGCUCCGCUGCCCGCUCGGGGCCGGGAUGCAGCCGGGGCAUGGCCGCCGGGCCCCCGUCACCUGCCGCGGGGAGCGCUGAGCCCCUCCAUUGUGGGAUUUCUGGGGAUGUGCCAGUGGGAGCCUUUCCAUGGAGGCGGGCUGGGGGGACCACUCCCCAGCCAACCCGCCUUGGACCCUGCCCUGGAGCCGGUCUUGGGGGACUGGCCAGAGAGGAUGCCCUGAAUGGUCUUGGGGUCCUACCUGCCUGUUGGCAUGCAUGCAGGUUGAGAAUCUCAGGUCCCUGA
rnacentral:lncRNA from 1 species